rnacentral:lncRNA from 1 species
CCACGGUCCCUGCAUUAAGUAGCUGAAUCCUGACAUAAGUUGAAACCAUAUUCAGCUUCACCCCCCCCCCCUCCCCUUCCCGGUUCAACACAGCUUCCAAACCCCUUCCUGGCCGGCCCAGUUCUACAGCUCCGCCUUACAAACAAAAUGGCUGAGGUGCCCAGUUUUUUGGAUCCUUCCACCCGGCCUCCAGGAAGUGGUAAAAAUUCAAAAUAAAUAUAGCACUAAAGUACAACCUUGAGUCUGAACUCCGGACCACCCUUUGGUGCUGGUGCUAGCGGGGUGCCUAGGAAAUGCGCUGCUUUUUUGCUAAAUUUCUAAUGAGCUGAAGAUGAAAGAAGAAAACACUAAAGGAUGAAAAUAGGACGGAGAAUUGUCUACAUUCUUCAAGACCACUCCCACUCCCACUCCCACAGAGAUCUGGGAAGCCACACUCUUCAGAUCCAGAGCUUGAAGUGUGUUAACCACCAGUGAAGCCCGGCACUCUGGAGCCAGAGCCAGAGAACACAAAAGCCACCAUAAGAUUCUGUGACAUCUCUGCUGUUGGAACCAGAUGUGGCAGCAGCUUUCCAGCCAGCACACCUGCUGGCUGCUGUGGAUCCUGUGUCUCUCAAUGUGUCAGCAGACACGACAUACAUUUUAUACCCCUGGCUCUGCCUCCUGCACAAAUGGCUGCACCAGAUCCGUUCUUUAUUUGGCAGUCCCUUUUCUGUCUGAUUUGAGGACAGUACCAGUUCUGUGGUCUCUCACAUAGUCAUCCUUUCGGUCCUUGGCACUAUUCAGCCUUCCCCUCUAAAAGAUAUCAUUUUUAUUUUCUGAUCUUUUUCUUUUUUAAUUUUUCCUUUUAUAGAAUUUUUUUUCCUCACAAAAUACAUCUUGAUUUUGGUUUCUUCUUCUACUCCUCCUAGCUCCUCCCCACCUCCCAUCCAGAUCCACCCCUUUCUGUCUCACAUUAGAAAACAAGCAGGC